UUGAAUGAACUUGGCGUGGUUGUCGCUGGCCCUCUAGGGGGCAUGUGCACGCCCGUCAUCUUUAUCUUUCCACCUGUGCACACUUUGUAGACUUGGAUAGUACUUUCCGAGGCAACUCGGUCGAGAGGAUUGCUGUGCUUUAAUGUCAGCUCUCCUUGCAUUAUCCAGGCCUAUGUUUUCAUAUACCCCAAAGAAUGUAACAGAAUGUAUUAUUGGGCCUUGUGCCUAUAAACUAUAUA
rnacentral:misc_RNA from 1 species